rnacentral:lncRNA from 1 species
CGCGCUAGCUGGCGCAUUCUGCAGAGCAUUGAGCAGUCGGAGCAAGCUAAGGGCAACGAGAAGCGCGUGGGCAUGAUCAAGAGGUACCGCGCGGUGGUGGAGGGCGAGCUCGACAAAAUCUGCCAUGAGAUCCUGGACCUGCUCGACAAGUACCUGGUGCCCAGCGCCUCUACCACCGAGGCCGCUGUCUUCUACCUGAAGAUGAAGGCCGAUUACCACCGCUACCUGUCUGAGUACAAGACGGACGAGGCCAAAGCGGCGGCCGCGGAGUUGACGCUGGCCGCCUACAAGGUCGCCCAGGAGAAGGCCGACGAGCUGCCCACGACCAACCCCAUCAGGUACACAAGGUUUGGGGCCGGAGCGCGCGCCUGGAGCGGCAUGCAUGCAAGUUUCUGACCUUGUUUCGGUGCCGAAUGUCGCGAAUGCAGGCUGGGUCUGGCGCUCAACUUCUCGGUCUUCUACUACGAGGUGAUGAACCAGCCCGCGCUGGCCUGCUCGCUGGCGAAGAAGGCCUUCGAUGAGGCUAUCUCUGACCUGGACUCGCUCGGCGAGGAUUCCUAC